UACGUAGGGUGCAAGCGUUAAUCGGAAUUACUGGGCGUAAAGCGUGCGCAGGCGGUGAUGUAAGACAGGUGUGAAAUCCCCGGGCUUAACCUGGGAACUGCAUUUGUGACUGCAUCGCUGGAGUGCGGCAGAGGGGGAUGGAAUUCCGCGUGUAGCAGUGAAAUGCGUAGAUAUGCGGAGGAACACCGAUGGCGAAGGCAAUCCCCUGGGCCUGCACUGACGCUCAUGUGCGAAAGCCAGGGGAGCGAACGGG
rnacentral:rRNA from 1 species